CAUACACAAUGUCCCAGGAUUCUGAUA
rnacentral:misc_RNA from 1 species